rnacentral:rRNA from 1 species
GACGGAGGGUGCAAGCGUUGCUCGGAAUCAUUGGGCGUAAAGGGUGCGUAGGCGGCUUUUUAAGUCUGACGUGAAAGCCCAGGGCUUAGCCUUGGAAGUGCGCCAGAAACUGCGUGGCUAGAGUCCGGGAGAGGAUAGUGGAAUUCCCAGUGUAGCGGUGAAAUGCGUAGAUAUUGGGAGGAACACCGGUGGCGAAGGCGGCUAUCUGGACCGGUACUGACGCUGAUACGCGAAAGCCAGGGGAGCAAACGGG